rnacentral:rRNA from 1 species
GAUGAACGCUGGCGGCGUGCCUAAUACAUGCAAGUCGAGCGAACAGACGAGGAGCUUGCUCCUCUGACGUUAGCGGCGGACGGGUGAGUAACACGUGGAUAACCUACCUAUAAGACUGGGAUAACUUCGGGAAACCGGAGCUAAUACCGGAUAAUUUAUUGAACCGCAUGGUUCAAUAGUGAAAGACGGUUUUGCUGUCACUUAUAGAUGGAUCCGCGCCGCAUUAGCUAGUUGGUAAGGUAACGGCUUACCAAGGCAACGAUGCGUAGCCGACCUGAGAGGGUGAUCGGCCACACUGGAACGGAGACACGGUCCAGACUCCUACGGGAGGCAGCAGUAGGGAAUCUUCCGCAAUGGGCGAAAGCUUGACGGAGCAACGCCGCGUGAGUGAUGAAGGUCUUCGGAUCGUAAAACUCUGUUAUUAGGGAAGAACAAAUGUGGAAGUAACUAUGCACGUCUUGACGGUACCUAAUCAGAAAGCCACGGCUAACUACGUG